CUGCUAAGCUCCACAUAUCUUAUUGAAUUUCUGCAUCAGUUCACAUCCUGGAUCAGAGUGAUGCACACAUCAUAUAUCUGUGGAGGAUAUACUGCUUCAGCAGGAACCUUUCUGCUCCAAUGAUGAUGACAGGAUGAACAAUAUACCUGAAAGCUGCUGGCUGAAGCAUGGAUUCCUAAAACAUGGAAAUUAACCACUCAAAUAAAAGGAGGAGGCUGGAAAAUAACUCUGCAGGUCAAAAACAGCACUGAAGCCCCAUGGUAGUGAAGAGUUUCUCUUACAGAAAAGGUUCCUCACUCAAAUAGGGAAAUGAGAUAAGGUGAAGUCAACAGUUUUAGUUUCUAUCACACUCUGAGAGCAAAGUCACAUAUCUUUAAGGGAAAAGAAAAAGAAAAGAAAAAGAAACAUGCAAGCAGGAAAGAAAGUAGCAGCAAGUGGAUUGGGAGACCACAAGAAGCUGGGAAGGGACACAGCUGGGACAGCUGACCUCAGCUGAACCAGGGGAUAUUCCAGACCAUAUGGCAUCAUGCUCAGCAUGGAACACAGCAGUGGGAUGUUAGGAGUGAUGAUGUUUGUCUUCCCAAGUCACCGUUACAUGUGAUGAAGCUGUGCUUACCUGGGGAUGGCUUAACAACUGCCUACCCAUGUGAAGUGCUGAAUUCAUUAAUGUUUUGUUUUGUUUACUUGCAUGUGCAGC